GGACAUUCUAAACUGAGCAAUUGCUGCUGAAGUCUCAGAUCCUGGAGCUUAAUGCUGAGUGAUUCUUUUCUUUGGAGUUCUUUUGUUGCUGAAAGAGCUCAAGACAGUAACUUUUGCACGUGCAGGUGCAUAUGAAGCCUCAGGAAUGUGAAGGUACAGAGGAGAAAGGUAACUGUAAGGGGCUCUGAAGCUGCUGCUAAUACACGAGCAAGCAGACCUAGGACACAUGCACUUGCACAGCUGAGGGAUACAAGAAACUGCUGCUCUCAUGUUUCAGAGCUGGGAGAAAAGUUUGGCAAUACCUUUGAUGGAGCCACAACUCUCGUGACCACACUGCUGCUAAGAUAUCAGCAACACCCCUUCACACCGGGGGCAUCCUUCCUGCUCUGCCAUGUGUCGGCUCAGAGGGGGCAGGAAGAUGAGUGGUGCAGCCAGGAGUAGUGGGGUGUCCAUCUGUCCAGAGCUGCCAUCCAGCCUCCUACAGCACAAAUCCAUAAGCUACUGCUAUAAGUCACUAGGUGGAAGCAUCUACCUUAAUACCAGCAACAUCACUCCUCAUUAGAGAGACAACUUUAUCAAAAAUACAGAAUGGUACCAGCACAGAAGGGCUUUCUCUGACCUUCUUUCUUUACCAGUAGCUGCCAUUUCUUCCACACUGUGAUUUCUCUUCUGCCUUUCUCCACUCGGAAUAGCUGUUUGUCUUGGAGAACAGUCAGGACACCAAUUAUCUACCAGCUGGGCAGACUUGUGAGUAGUAUUGCUGUGAUGGGAAGUAUUGGUUCUUGACAGCUUAGCUCUGUCAAGUAGGUGGCCAUGGCCCACAUGUCCUUCUUUCUCUGGGAUUUAGUUUCCUGAUUCUCCAAAUCUGUUCCCAUCACUGAAGUCUGGAAAGGAGAUAUGGGGACAGUGAUGCUAUAGGAAUAAGGAGACAAAUAGAGGAGGGCCAUCCAGCUGGGUGCUGCAGUCUGACAUGUCAAAAGCUAAGACUGCAGGGUGAUGAUUUCUGGAUCUCUCCAUGCCUGCUGAAAAGGCUACUGUACUCUGACAGCUCUCAACUACUCUUUCUGCCUGGAGAAAUGAUAUCAGCCUAAUCUACUUUAGGCAACAGCAAAGGCUAAUUCAAUUGAAGCCAACUAAGCUAACCUGGUAGAUUUUGCAUGAAAGUGGAUUAGUGAAUGCUGAAACCACUGCUUUGCCAGCAGAGCUCCGUAGGUGAUCACCUCACAUCAAGGGACAGCUCAGCAGCUGGAGGUCUGCGGUGGAGAAGCACAGCUGUUAGCAGUGGUGACUGCAGUGGGUGGGCAAAGCAGCCAGAUCCUCACCCAGCUCCUCCUUCACCCAUGAGCCCUUCCUCAGACACCAGCCCUCCUCUUGGGUGAUGUGUGAAUGAGGAAGAGCUGGGUUUGCUUCUCAUACUGCAGAGUGACGUACGGGCAAUAUCUGUUUUUUUAACUCAUGAACUGGCGGUUUUGCAUUUGAAAAUCACUGACAGACGUCAAGCGUGGAACCCCACAAUGAAAUGUUUACAGUGCUGCUUCAGAGAGAGACUGCACUUGGACAUGAAGUGGAAGUAUGCUGGAAGUCUGCAGAGCAGGGCAUGCGUAAGGGUAGAGAAUUAAAGCACGAUGGAGCCAUGGGCAUUCAGCAUUUAGGGGAAAAAACAUUGUUCAUAUUGCUUAUGUUUCUUCACGACUGACGAGAUGAUCCCUUCCACUUGUGGUUUCUGGGCUAGCUUUUGUCUUGAUUUCCCUGUACUCUCGAUUUGCCAGCUCUGACUUUGUGUUAUUUUCCUCUAUAAAUAGUACUACCGAGCAGCGCAGCUCUGCGUAAUUUGUUGUGAAACGCACAAAGAAAAUGAUUUCUUUAUGUUUUUCUUAUGUUUAUUUUUCCUUGUGCUAACACGUGCGGUGCGUAUCAUGCAAAGCGAUGUGUCAUUCAGGGCAGAUUUAGCAAUUGUAUUUUAAUUUGAUGGAGAAGUGCUUAAUUUUCCUGCCACUCUUUUCCAUCCCCUUUCCUCUCAUAACAGCAGGCACCACUCUCUGUAACAUAAAUGAGUAAAGUAAGCAAACUUCUGUAGUUUGACACUCAAAAUGACUUUUUUAAUAGAAUCUCUCUUAUCUGUCUACUGUUGGGAAUUCCCAAAUGUGAUAAAGAAGAAACUACCCUCUUAGGCCUGCACUCACAUUUAUACUCUUACCUCUUGUUUUAUCAGUGUAGGACCCAUUUGCUUCCCAGCUCGCUGCUUGUUGCAGGCAAUAAAUAAAACAAUUAAAGGCAACUUGAUUUUUAGUUUUAAAAAUUUAAAGUUAUAACCCGCACUAUGUUAGGAAAACCCAGGUAAUGACAUGGGCAGAAAUAAUCUGAAGCACAUUCAAUAGGCUGUAGAAGUACAGAAAACAGGAACAUCAAGGGACUAUUUGUGGAGAUAGUUGGCAGUAAAUGAGAUGUGAAUCUAUUGUGUGCUAUGACGGCACAACUCCCUUUGCAAUUUCGGUUUCUAUUUAAAGAGGCAGUGAACAUAUGAGCAGAGGAAGUAAUUCUUUCCUUGUAUGACUGCACCUGCAAUAUCACUUUUGUAUUCCAGGCAAGGGAUUAGCAGAAAGCUGUGGUCAAGAAGGAGAACUGCUCAGAGAAGAGAGAGUCAGAAGGGGGAAGUCAGUGUGGGGAAGAGGAUGCUUGGCCAGGUAGCCUGGGGGAACGCAGGGGCUGUGCUGGCAGCUUGUACAGUCCCUGAGCUCGACGGAGAAGAAAACCAAGAGAAGAGCAAGCAGUACUAACUUGCAGACUGCUCUCCCUCAGGAAGUGGCAGAAAGCUCAUUGUUUGGAGCAUGUGAAGCUAGUCUAAACAAGGCCAUAAUAAAUGCUUGCUGGAGAACAACACAGCACUGGCAGGGAACAUAGGAUGGCCUAAUGAGGCUUUUCCAUCUGUAGAGUCUAUAAAUAACAAAAGACACAUACACACACAAGGCACAAAGGUGUGAAACUUACAAAUGCAUUUUUUAGAAAGCAAUUCGCUUUCAUAAGGCACAUUAAAAAUGAUCUGAAAUCACCCAAAGACAUGUACUGAACUUCAUCUAGCACUUUUUCUCCCCAAGGUGUUAGCGAUGGACAUAUGGGGUUUAACCUCAGUUGCCACCGCUGCCGUACAGAGCCCCACCACACGCAGGCUUUGCCGGGGCCAGGGCUUCAUUGCAGAGGCUGUGUGGCCUGGAGCUCUCCAGGCAAGUCAGCUGCCAACACAGCAGUAGGAAAGGCCUGAGCACCACAGGGGCUUCGUUGGACCUGCAGGGCCAAUGCUUGCUGCAGGGUAUGCCGGUGCAUCUUCUCCGAGGGCAAGGCAAGGCAAGCACUCUGCUGACAGGCAGCCCCCGUCCCCCGGGCUCAUCUUGCACCAAGCCCCUGUUCAAACUGUUUAUGUUAACUGUCUCCUUCUGACUGACAGAGGUUAGGGAGCAUUCACAUGAGUGGCCUUGCUGCAGGUCUGGGGCAGCAGUAACAUCAGGCAGAGGGGUGAUGACAAGCGUGUGUGGGG
rnacentral:lncRNA from 1 species